rnacentral:misc_RNA from 1 species
CCCGAGUUUACAACUCCCAAACCCUUUGUGAACCUUACCUAUCGUUGCUUUCGGCGGGACCGCCCCGGCGCCUUCAAACCGCGCCGGAACCCAGGCACCCGCCGGAGGUAUCCAAACUCUUGUUUUUAUAUAGUAUCUUCUGAGUGGCGAAAGCAAAAAAUGAAUCAA